GCGAAUGGCUCAUUAAAUCAGUUAUCGUUUAUUUGAUAGUACCUUACUACUUGGAUAACCGUGGUAAUUCUAGAGCUAAUACAUGCUGAAAACCCCAACUUCGGGAGGGGUGUAUUUAUUAGAUAAAAAACCAACGCCCUUCGGGGCUUCUUGGUGAUUCAUGAUAACUUUACGGAUCGCAUGGCCUUGCGCCGGCGACGGUUCAUUCAAAUUUCUGCCCUAUCAACUUUCGAUGGUAAGGUAUUGGCUUACCAUGGUUUCAACGGGUAACGGGGAAUUAGGGUUCGAUUCCGGAGAGGGAGCCUGAGAAACGGCUACCACAUCCAAGGAAGGCAGCAGGCGCGCAAAUUACCCAAUCCCGACACGGGGAGGUAGUGACAAUAAAUACUGAUACAGGGCUCUUUUGGGUCUUGUAAUUGGAAUGAGUACAAUUUAAACCUCUUAACGAGGAACAAUUGGAGGGCAAGUCUGGUGCCAGCAGCCGCGGUAAUUCCAGCUCCAAUAGCGUAUAUUAAAGUUGUUGCAGUUAAAAAGCUCGUAGUUGAACCUUGGGUCUGGCUGGCAGGUCCGCCUCACCGCGUGUACUUGUCCGGCCGGGCCUUCCUUCUGGAGAACCUCAUGCCCUUCACUGGGCGUGUUGGGGACCAGGACUUUUACUUUGAAAAAAUUAGAGUGUUCAAAGCAGGCCUUUGCUCGAAUACGUUAGCAUGGAAUAAUAGAAUAGGACGUGCGGUCCUAUUUUGUUGGUUUCUAGGACCGCCGUAAUGAUUAAUAGGGACAGUCGGGGGCAUCAGUAUUCAAUUGUCAGAGGUGAAAUUCUUGGAUUUAUUGAAGACUAACUACUGCGAAAGCAUUUGCCAAGGAUGUUUUCAUUAAUCAGUGAACGAAAGUUAGGGGAUCGAAGACGAUCAGAUACCGUCGUAGUCUUAACCGUAAACUAUGCCGACUAGGGAUCGGGCGAUGUUCUUUUUCUGACUCGCUCGGCACCUUACGAGAAAUCAAAGUUUUUGGGUCUGGGG
rnacentral:rRNA from 1 species